rnacentral:lncRNA from 1 species
GGCUGAAAAGAAGAAGCCAGUGUUUGAGAAAAGCUUCGUGGUCUGUGUUCUCUAGUUGUUCCCUCUUCUCUCUGACAUUCCUUUCGUCGUCGCCAGAAUUUUUGUGGAUUUGGUGGUUGUAUGAAGAAUAAGUGAAUCUACCAGAACUUCCUAGUAGCUAAGAUCUUGAUUCCCAGAGGAUCCAGUAACUGAGACACCUGCACACUUUACAAUAAAUAAAAGACAAAGGAUGACAUAAGAACCCAUGGUGCUUAUAGUUACAAGACUUCAGAUGGAUUUUAAAAUUGAACACACUUGGGAUGGUUUUCCAGUGAAGCAUGAGCCCGUAUUUAUCAGGCUGAAUCCAGGUGACAGAGGAGUGAUGAUGGACAUUAGUGCUCCAUUUUUCAGGGAUCCUCCAGCCCCACUUGGAGAACCAGGAAAACCUUUCAAUGAACUGUGGGAUUAUGAAGUUGUGGAAGCAUU